rnacentral:lncRNA from 1 species
CAGCAAUAGUUGAAUUUUACUGAAUGUUUCACAUCCUUUGGUACCUGGUGUGCUGGUGACUUUUCCUCUUGUUCCUUAAGAGCCUCGGUUCUCGUAGCUGUAGCAAAGAGUGUUUGUCUUUGUAAGUGCAUUUACUGCCUUGUGCUUCCCAGCAAGCUUGUAGUCGUUCAUCAGAAUUCUCUACUCAUACUCCGCUGGCACAGCAAACUGGGGUUUCUGCUUCUCCAAAAGCCUGGUGAGAUAGUCUCCAGAACGGUGUCAGUGAUGUUCCCUGAGCCAAAGCGACACCGCAUCCGAGUGAGAGAGAUCCUAGAGCAGCAGAGAACCAGCCCGUAACCUGGAGGAUCUGCUUGGCCUUUGCCUAAAUCAGCCUCCUCUGGGCACCAGUUCUUCUUGGCCCUCGUUCACUAGGAUCACGGGGAUGCCAGGGCUUUGGAUUCGUUACAGGAAGCCCAAGUAACUGUGGGAAAUUCUCUGCCCCAAGAUGCUGAAACGGGGACCUCGUUUUGGUGUUACAAGUUAGGGGAAUGGGAUUUGCAGAUGGCUGGAGUACAAGGAAGGGUGUCAACAGCAUAUGAAAAUGUCCUGGCUGUUCAAAAGACUAGAAUAAAGAGCAUAAAAUAAAAAAAUAAUAAAAAAAAAAGUACAAAAUAACAACUCUUGUCUAAUACUUGAAGGGUUCAGUCACAUCCGCAGAUGCCGGUUGUGCUCCAGCUGAGUUAGGUGUUGGUGCUCCCUCUCCCCUUCUUGACCGCGGCAGCUGGCGAGGCCGUGCAGGUACGCGUUGCGGUUUCCAUUGCCGUUUCUGUCGUGAACCCCGAGCAGCACGGCCUGGCUCUGCUCCGCCUGUCAGUUCCGAGCAUCCGCCUGUGCCAGCAGAGCUGGCGCUGACUCUGUUUUAGGUACCAGAACAGGUUGAAUGGACACCUCUGGACCGAGGUGAAGCGCUGGGCUCAGGGGAUCCCUCACGAUUUACCGAUGGCGGUUUCCCUGCGGUUUCCACGUUUCCCAGCUGAAGUAAGGUAACCGGCGCUCCCGAAAAUGCUGUUUUUGCUGGAGGAUGAAGCCUGAGGUUGGAAGAGCAUGAGGAAGGCAUCCUUCUUAAGCCCCUCGCUCCGUCUUUACCUUUUGGCAGGCAGAGAACGACCUCUGAACUCGUAGGACCCUGUACGAGCCCGUGUGUCCCUCGGCUCCGGUCGGAGAGGGGGCCCUCGGGCCGGCGGGGCCUCUUCCCCACGGCAGGAGCCCGCCUCGAUGCCCACGAUGGGCGGCGGGUGGGUCCCCAGCCCCGAGGGACCCUGCCUGCAAUUCCCCUGCCUGCAAUUCCCCUGCCUGCU